GGGGGGGGGGGGGGGGGGGGGGGGGGGGGGGGGGGCGGGCGGGGGGGCGCUGGUGGGGGGGGGUGCGCGGGUGGCGAGCGGGGGAGGGACGGGGGAGUAGCCGGGCCCGGGCGUGGGGGUACCGUCGGGGGACUGGGGCUACUUCCGCCUAGUCCCUGCUGCGGCCGGGGGGGGCGCGGCACCGUUCGGCGGGUGGGGACGGCCUCCCGGCUUAUCAGCUUGUUGGUGGGGUGUUGGCUUCCCAAGGCUUUGACGGGUAGCCGGCCUGAGAGGGUAGCCGGCCACAUUGGGACUGAGAUACGGCCCAGACUCCUACGGGAGGCAGCAGUGGGGAAUAUUGCACAAUGGGCGGAAGCCUGAUGCGGCAACGCCGCGUGCGGGAUGACGGCCUUCGGGUUGUAAACCGCUUUCGCCUGUGACGAAGCGUGAGUGACGGUAAUGGGUAAAGAAGCACCGGCUAACUACGUG
rnacentral:rRNA from 1 species